CGCCCCCGCCGCUGAUUGGCCCCUGGUGCACAUGUCCUUAUAAGGCCAGGACGCGCUGGAUUCCUGCGGCCGCGGACUUCCUGAGCCCCCUCAGCUGCCCAGACCCCCGCCCGGGUGAAGAAACUGAGACCCAGAAGGGAAGAAACUUGCCCAACACCAUCCAGCUAGGACUUGAACCCUGAAGAAAGGAACCAUCAGAUAGAUGGAAUGGGACUAUGACAGACAGAAAAAGAGUAAACAGAUAUCCAAGGAGUAGAGUGCCAGAGGCAAGUGCUCUCCAGGGAAGGGGCAGGGACAUCACCUAUUGAACACCAACUGUGUGCCUGGCCUGGUACCACCCACCCACUGGCAACCCGGGCAAGCCCCUCAACGCCACCCCCAGCCUGUCUCCCACCUGUGAAAUGGGCCUGCCUCCCAGUCACUGAUAUUCACUGAGUGCCCACAAAGAUGCCUGGGACAUUGUAAGCAUCACAUAUGUGCUGGGCAACUUGAAUCCUGGCACUUAGACCAGUGCUGAUCAAUGGGACAGAUGGCACAAGUGCCCUACUCAACAUUGACUGCCUCUGUGGCCUCUGGCUACACGACUACUGAGCACUUCAAGUGUGGUUGAUUUUAAUUAAUCCUGACUUAAAAUGAAAAACCAACACUGGGUCCAGUUUUUGGAAUAUGUCAAAGUAUAUUUCAAACAACUCGGGAAGGGACAUAUGCUUUUUCCUUUUCGGUGUUUACAAAAUCUAGAUACAGGUGAGUGUUUCAAGGACACGUGAGAGUCUGCAUUGAGAUGGGCUGUGAGUGGGAAAUAGGCCUGCUUUCAAAGACGUCGUACAGAAAAAGAUGUCAAAUACCUCGUUCAUCAUUUUUCAUGUCAGUUACAUGUUGAAAUGAUCAUAUUUUUGAGAUAUCAAGGUAUGUGAAAUCUAUUACCAAAACUGUUCUCUUUUAGUUCUUAUAAUGUGGCUACUAGAAAGUUGAAAACUAUGUGUGUGAUUUGUCUUAUAUUUCUACCAGCAAGGGUUGUUCUAGAUCUGUGGGCCAAAUCCAGAUGCUGCUUUUUUCUUUUUUGUUUUUUGGUGUGGCCCAU